UUGGAUGUGAGAAUGAAAACAAAGGAUUUCAAACAUAUUCAGUAUAAAUUUCGGGGAUGGUAGUUGCAAUCACCAUCUUGACCAACUAACCUCAAUGGAUAUCGUAUGACAUUUAUAGAUUUAAGUACCACAUUAAGCUCUCAAAUUAAUUCUAAGGUCAUAUUGCAUGGGUUUUCCUUUAAUCGAGUCAUUUUGUCUGGCUUUUAAGAAAUUCUAUGACACAACGGCCCCGUUAUAAGGAGUUGUAAGAAAAGACGUAUCGUUUGUAUGUAUCUAUUUUCUACAGCUCUGUCAUAAUUACUGUGAGAACUUUUUUCAUUGUGUUCUGAACAUUGUUAGAAUGUUGAUGAUUUUUCACCAAGUGAAAAGAACAAUAAAGGAUGCCUUAUCUCAACCAAGAGGUGAUAUUGACAGACUAAGUUGGUACAAUUUUUGUUCAAGCGUGUUUUAUAUGUUUUUAUGUAACAAAACUUGUUGUACCUUAACUCUUUAAUGUUAAACUGGUCGUUUAUGCAUGCUUGUACCAAUACAUAGCAAAUGUUUAUAUUUCCUCUUCUUUUUUAAGGCACAUUCAUUAUUAAAAGUGAAAUAACAGGAUUUCACAGGUGUAUUAGUCGAUUAGGGAGACAUUGCUGUCGGCGACAUCCUUGGGUUAGGAUAAUAUUAUGCUAAUUGUAGAGACAUAAUAAGGAAAUUCCGACCUAACAGUUUUAUAGGAGUUUUGGUAUUGGAUUCCAGGACUUAAUACCGGGAUAGUACCAAAAUAGUUCCGUAAAGUUUGAAUCAUCUCUUAAUUAUUUGAAAUUUCAUCUGAAAAAUAUUGUGUAACUUAACAUCAAUAAAAACAGUUUUUAAACCGCAUCCGCUUAGUUAUACUUGUUUUAAUUGUACAAAUGUUUGAGGGUUAUUAAGAUUAAGCAUUGAAUUCCGUUUUUAGAUUUCACCGGCCUUCACGGAGUAUUCGCAUGCCAUCAAACUUAUAUAUAUUCAUUCUAUUUUCUAUUAACCAUUACAAUAACAACAGUUGAUUACGUUUCGAACACUUAAGGUCUGGCUUGAUAACCGGGGUAUGCAUUUAUGCAUUGCUGUGUUUUGUCUAUCGUAUUAUUCAGUCCCUUAAUUUUAAGUCCCCAAACAAAAGUUCCUGAAUUACAUAGGUGAAAUUAUAAGCACGAUGCAUUGACAAUAAUGAAAAAAGAAAAAAAAAACUCCAAGAAAUCCAAAGAAUGCACAAUGUAAAUUGAAAGCACAAGACUAAUUAAUUUCAUAAUAGGAACACUUACGCGAAUCAUUCUUUAUCCUUACUAAUUACCUUUUCUAUGUUUGUUACAACCACACACUAAAAAAGCAGCGCCUUAUCAAAAGUACUCGCCAUUUUGAAUUCAAAAUGAUAACUUUAUUAGUGAAAAAAAAAUUCUCAACUUAUAAUACAUAAUGAAUAAUUAUGAUAUUUUGGUUAAAUGUCUAUCAACUUUUGCUGAAAACAUCCGUAAUUAAUACAUUCAUAUCGUCUGCACUACGAAAAAAAUAUUCCCUGUCUGAUUCAGUAUUUUGUAAUUUUUAUUGUUUUGACUACAUAAUUUAGUCUUAUGUUUGCAUUAACACAGAUAUGAAUGCAAUUUAACUGCGUCGUUACUCUGUUUUCUAACAUUCACUCAUAUUACAUAAACUGCGCAGUAGAGUAAUCUUCUGCUUGUUACUACGUUUGGAUUUUCUCAAUUGCUCUUACAUUUUAAUUAUAUAUAAAAUGACCUAAAACCCACAUAAAUUUUUAAGAUGACUCCUACUUUAACUUUAAAGAUCCCCAAUUGACCGACUUGCAAUCUUCUGCACUUAACUGAAUUAGACCACAUCUUUUAAGAACAGUAAACAAUGUGCAUGCCUUUUUCAGUUUAACCCAUUGUUUUACGUAAACAAUUUGCUUUCAUGCAUAGUACAUUAAUUACAAUCAUUCCAGAUGAAUAUAUUCCACAUGCAGAUCCUAAAUAUAGUGAUACGGUAUAUCAUGAUUAUUCCUAGAGAAAUUAUUAUAGGCCAUGAAAAUGACUACCUUCCGUUCAGAAGACAGCAAAGAAACAAACGGAAAUGCAACUAUUUAGCAUCUUUUCGUGAGCGACAUUGUCAUGCAUUUUGUCUUCUAUAAUAUAUAUUUUGUUUUCAGAUGAAACAGAAUGAAAGAAAGAGAUACAAUUUGAAUUUUACUUGAGGAGGAAGUUGGAUUUCUUAAAUCGACUACAUCUGAACCAGUUUUUAUAGAUCAAAAUAUUAAUAAGUGUAUUAAUCUAAAAGAUAAAUAUUUCAUAAUAUUGAGAAUGUAUGUGCAAAACAUUUUUUUCUAUUAUGUCGAUAUCGGAUAGACUAAUAUUGUCUUUCUGUUGAUAACCAUCGUACAACGGAGUCAACCAAUCGCGCUUGGAACUUAAGUGUCACGUGGUGCAGGUCUAAUGCUAUUACUUUUCAGUGUUGUUCUACAUUUAAAUACUAGCAGUCCACCAUGUUCUCUCGGAGGAUUUGUUAUCUUUUGCUCAUUUUAAGCACAAUGCUUUCUUUUCACCUUGUGGAGGGGAUUUUGGAAAAUGUGCUAGCCCGUUCUACAAAUGAGGAUAGAGAAGGCAGUAUCUACGACAUUGGACCUAUCCGAAGGCCAAAACCUAGACCAAGACCUGAGGGUUAACAUUGCAGACGUACAAGACAUUAACUUUGAAUUGACACGUGGAUAUGUCAUGGAUUAUUUCGAUUGGAUUUAAUGAUGUCUAUAUAUUUCUCUUUUAAAUAUCUUUUAAUGUUCACAAGUAUAAUAUUUUUGACUUCGUUUUGAUGAAAAGAAAAGCAUUCCUUCUUACAUGAAUUUGUUUAUGCAUAUUAUUACUAUUUCGAAUAAAGAAGGUGGUUCUAAAGUA